rnacentral:sRNA from 1 species
AAGGAGAAGUCGUAACAAGGUUUCCGUAGGUGAACCUGCGGAAGGAUCAUUGUCGCACGCAGAGAGAACCAACACGCGAACCGGUUCCGUCGCGCAUCCGCCGCCCGCGGGGAGCGCGGUCUGGGCCCCCUCGGAUCCGACGUCUCCCGGCCGUCUUCCUCGCGCGUCGAGGGCCGCCGCGGAGCGCCGGCGGGGCCCGCGCGCGACCCGCAGGGCAUCACCCCCAGGGCGCGUCACGCGCCAAGCACUCGAAGCGAAGGGUGCGGCGGCCACGCCCGUCGCACGUCCCUGACCGACUGAAAUACGACUCUCGGCAACGGAUAUCUCGGCUCUUGCAUCGAUGAAGAACGUAGCGAGAUGCGAUACGUGGUGUGAAUUGCAGAAUCCCGUGAACCAUCGAGUCUUUGAACGCAAGUUGCGCCCGAGGCCACCCGGCCGAGGGCACGCCUGCCUGGGCGUCACGCCCCCGAUCGCUCCCCCUCGGCGGCCCGCGUCGACGGGGGGGGCGGAGACUGGCCGCCCGUGGGCAGACUCGUCUGCGCGCGGUCGGCCCAAAGCGCAGGUCGCCGCGCGGCGCGGCACGACGUGUGGUGGUUUAGAGGCGCGAGCCGCAGAGGAUCGGACGUCGCGCCGGAGCUUUUAGCCGCCCGCAGCGCACCCCGUGGGAUCCAGGAGUCCCGUUCCGGCGGGCACUCGGACCGCGACCCCAGGUCAGGCGGGACCACCCGCUGAGUUUAAGCAUAUCAAUAAGCGGAGGAGAAGAA